rfam:Toxocara canis C1733319, whole genome shotgun sequence.
GCCAUGGUAGCUCAGUAGGGAGAGCGCUAGACUGAAGAUCUGAAGGUCGCCGGUUCGAUCCGGGCUCUUGGCA